rnacentral:rRNA from 1 species
AGGACGAACGCUGGCGGCGUGCUUAACACAUGCAAGUCGAGCGAGGCCUCACCUUCGGGUGAGUGUCCUAGCGGCGAACGGGUGAGUAACACGUGGGCAACCUGCCCCUAGCACUGGGAUAACCCCGGGAAACCGGGGCUAAUACCGGAUAUGACCGCGAAAGGCAUCUUUUGCGGUGGAAAAGGUUACUGGCUAGGGAUGGGCCCGCGGCCUAUCAGCUUGUUGGUGGGGUAAUAGCCCACCAAGGCGACGACGGGUA